GAUGAACGCUGGCGGCGUGCCUAAUACAUGCAAGUCGAGCGGACGGACGAGCAGCUUGCUGCUCUGAUGUUAGCGGCGGACGGGUGAGUAACACGUGGAUAACCUACCUAUAAGACUGAGAUAACUUCGGGAAACCGGAGCUAAUACCGGAUAAUCUUUUGAACCGCAUGGUUCAAAAGUGAAAGACGGUCUUGCUGUCACUUAUAGAUGGAUCCGCGCUGCAUUAGCUAGUUGGUAAGGUAACGGCUUACCAAGGCAACGAUGCCUAGCCGACCUGAGGGGGUGAUCGGCCACACUGGAACUGAGACACGGUCCAGACUCCUACGGGAGGCAGCAGUAGGGAAUCUUCCGCAAAGGGCGAAAGCCUGACGGAGCAACGCCGCGUGAGUGAUGAAGGUCUUCGGAUCGUAAAACUCUGUUAUUAGGGAAGAACAUAUGUGUAAGUAACUGUGCACAUCUUGACGGUACCUAAUCAGAAAGCCACGGCUAACUACGUG
rnacentral:rRNA from 1 species